GAGAGCGCACGCAAGACGGAGAGAGAGAGAGAUGUGUGACGAGGCGCGUCGGAGCUUUGUACUUUCCGCCCGUCUCAUCGGGAAUUCCUGCCGGAAUCGCACACUGCCGCCAUGGUCGAUCCUUUAUCCGCUCGUAUACGUAUAUUGUAUAUACGGCGCAAAGUGCGCUGCGCAUGUGAGCACGAGUAUAUAGAUGCCGAUAAGCAGGAAUUAGAAAUGUGAACGGAGGAGAAGAGACAAAUAUAGAGGGUGUCCCAGAUUCACAUCGCAGUUCCCUUCACGUGCUAUUCAGGAUCGGUUCUUCGAGCGGCUCCCAUAUUAGGUAGACAACAUCCCAGCGCCACCUUCGUAUCCUGCAAAUUCCAACGUUUGCGAGAGCAGCGCGCGAACACGUUUUUGCAAUCGAUGUCGUCCUGGGCUAAAAGGACGAGGACACUCCUCUGAUCAAGGAAACGAAUCGCCGAGAAAGAGAGCCCUGACACGCAGAAAGAUAGGUACGAGACAAAGUCAAAUGCAAAUGCGACUAAUAAUAUGCGAGAAACGUUAUAAAGGCACUCGACGUCAAAGGGUACGGGGGCGGGUACUUUAAGCGGCUGCAUUUAGAGCCAAGAACGUCGGUCCCCACUUUCCUUUCCUCCCUCUCUUUUCACCCCUCCUCACCCCCUCUUUUUUUCCGUCUCGCUCCGCAGAGUCGCGUCGAACCGGCCGUUAACAAGACGGCCGAUAAACUCUUGACGAUUUUAGUUAUGCAUCCUGGCGAGUGCCCGGGCACAAAGAAGAUUCUCUCGAUUCCGGUCGCUACUCGGCUCCACUCGGCCCUAACAAGAUAUCCGACCUCUUCGUUUAUUUGCACGCGGAGAGCGGAGAAUUACCGGAACGAUUAAAUAAAUUCAGCAUCCUCCCGCGGAGAUCCCGCGCUUCAAAAUCGUUUAAGGCAUAAGUUGCGGAGCUCGUUCGCGAAAAUUGUUUAAUUAUCGUCAAAUCGAUGACGGAUAUGGAAUUUUUGUAGCAAACGAUAUAUGCGUAGCUUUCUUGUUAUUUUUUUCUGGUAUUCUUAUAUCCUAGGAAUACCCGAGCAUGAAUGACAUGACUUAUGAUUACGACAGAAGCUAUCGGAAAGCGCUUUACGUGCUUGCGCGAGUCGAGAUCUUCAAAGUUAGUUAAAAGGCACGUUAACUUAUGAAAGAUAGCACGAAACGCACGACAGCUGUGACAAUGCAUGGACGCUUGUCUUUUUUCAAUCCGCUCUUGUAGACAAUUAGAGUUCCCUUAUACAAAUAUUGAACUUGACUCGAGAGAAAAAUAUAAAAAGAAAAUAGCAAUUUUUUUUUUUGUAAACGACGUUGGUGAAUUAGCACGGAAAAGAUAAAGGCAAUAUAAGGGCAAACUUUAAUUACUUUUAUUAAAUAAAAGAAUCGGUUUUUCAAAAUUUAAGAGAAUGAUGGUAAUGUACAGUUUUAUACACUAUGUAAUAUUUUUUGAGGUAAAAGAUGAUAGUUGCACAACCGAACGAGAAAAGUCACCGGAAAAUUUCCCAACAGCCGGUAGAUGCUCCAGGGAAAUCAAAAGUCUGCUGAUGCGAUCUAUACGAAAAUUCGACCAAUAAAAAGCGUACGACGGAACUUUACGAAUUUCAUCCGAUAUCGAUACGCGGUGCAUACGAUGCGUUUUCGUUUCGUGAUCAGAGCCGUAUUUCGAAUCGCGAGAGAUUGAUAGUAUUUAAUGGGCUCAAACAGCUGCAACGGCGCGAAAUUAAAUUCUCGGCCGUAUCGCUCGUUAACAGGAAUUUAAUGGCGAUCCAUGGAAUAUGUAUAUACAGAAUUACUCGUUGCGCGACGGCAUGAAAUUGGAAGAGACAAGGUAGGAAAGAAAGAAACACGCAUACAUAUACACACACACACACACACACACACACACACAUAUAUAUAUAUAGAAUAGAGAGAGAGAGAGAGAGAAAUAGAAUCAGAAAUGUCAGAUCGAAUCUCGUACGUAAUUUCAUUCAAGAGCUAACUGAGUGGAUCUUGCAAUUUGAGAGACCAGGUAGCAUCAUUUAAUGUGUAUGAACUAUGGCAGUAGAGAUGCAGAGAUGUCAAGUAAAGAGGGCGAAAGGAUUCUACGUGGACAGUUGACAGUAAAACGAAAGAAAUGUAGGAAAAGAGGGAGGAAAAAGAAAAGAUAAAAGAUGGGAGAGACUGGAAGAGGAGAUAAGACGCGGCUACGAGAGUGGAGAGAUGAGAUAAGACAAGACGGGUGGUUAUAUACCAAAGAGAUGUGUCACAGAGAGAGAUAGAAAAAGAGACGAACAGAAUAGGGGCGAAAAACGAGAAACGGAGAGAUUAGGUUCUUUACCGGACGAACAAACCAAACGAAUAAUUUGCCUACUAUCGCUUUUGCCAUCGAGAUUUGCUUACUGUUGUACAGCGCUAUGCUCUCGAUGUCCAGUGCGAUUAUUAUCAUGCGCUGACAUUCAUCCAUUAUACAU